rnacentral:tRNA from 1 species
GACGGUGUAGCUCAGUGGUAGAGCGAGGGACUCAUAAACCCUAGGUCGCAGGUUCGAUUCCUGCCACCGUCA